rnacentral:rRNA from 1 species
CCUACGGGUGGCAGCAGUGAGGAAUAUUGGUCAAUGGUCGGGAGACUGAACCAGCCAAGCCGCGUGAGGGAUGAAGGUACAGAGUAUCGUAAACCUCUUUUGUCAGGGAACAAAGGCGGGGACGUGUCCCCGGAUGAGUGUACCUGAAGAAAAAGCAUCGGCUAACUCCGUGCCAGCAGCCGCGGUAAUACGGGGGAUGCGAGCGUUAUCCGGAUUUAUUGGGUUUAAAGGGUGCGCGGGCGGUCUGUUAAGUCAGCGGUAAAAGCACGGGGCUCAACCCCGGCCCGCCGUUGAAACUGGCAGUCUCGAGUUGGAGAGAAGUAGGCGGAAUGCGCGGUGUAGCGGUGAAAUGCAUAGAGAUCGCGCAGAACUCCGAUUGCGAAGGCAGCAUGCCGGCUCCACACUGACGCUGAGGCACGAAAGCGUGGGUAUCGAACAGGAUUAGAUACCCCGGUAGUC